GAUCCUGGCUCAGGAUGAACGCUAGCGACAGGCCUAACACAUGCAAGUCGAGGGGCAGCGGGGAGGUAGCAAUACCUUUGCCGGCGACCGGCGCACGGGUGAGUAACACGUAUGCAAUCCACCUGUAACAGGGGGAUAACCCGGAGAAAUCCGGGGCUAAUACCCCAUAAAUAUGGGCGCUCCGCAUGGAGAGUUCAUUAAAAGAGAGCAAUUUUGGUUACAGACGAGCAUGCGCUCCAUUAG
rnacentral:rRNA from 1 species